rnacentral:lncRNA from 1 species
UAUUUUCCUUCACUGGUUCACACCGAAACCCUAGCCUCCGUCUUCUUCUGCCAUCUGAGAGGUUCUACAAUCUUUUCUUUGCUAAAACCCUAGAUAUCUCUACUACUGUGCUUCCUCAGAUCAUAUUGGAUAUUCAAAAAUUUCUCUUCAUCUCAAUCACCAUCGAUUAUGUGGAUUUGAGGUCAUAAUUUCAUCGAAAAACUAAUGUUUUGUUGUAAUUCUUCUCUACUUGCAGACAUCCAACACGGAUUUUACAUGAAGAUCUGAAAACUAGGACAAAAUGCCCUAGCCGCCCCUUCAGCUUAUACGGCUAGGGUUCCGGUCAUUAGUCAUCCGUUUUUCGCUUUAGAAUCCAUGGUGUUUAGGUAUCCCCAAAUUAUUGUUUGUUAUAUUGAUUUUUAUUGUUUGCAAAUAGUGUGUUUGUUGGUUUGUGAUCUUAUAACCAGUACCCAAAGGAUAAAGAUUGAAAAUUUAUGUGUAUUGUUUGAUAAUUGAGGUGGGUUUGUUCUCUAAUUUCAUAAAUGUAAGUUUUCUUCAUGAUUCGUGCUUUAUAGCUGCAAAAUCUUUAUUUAAAAUUCGUUUGUUCAUCAAUUAGGGUUUUUCAAAACCUGGAUAUGAUCAUUCUUUUCCAUAGAUGUUCCAAUACUGUUUCCAAGCUUUGAAAUUGAUGUGGAAUUUAUUACAGAUACGGUAUUAAUGGCCAAAACUGAAUAUGAGUAUCACAUAAUUCUGAUUUUUUUUGGGUAUGGAUUUUGAGUUUUAUACCUUUUCAAUAUGCUUUCACAUUCUUUUCCAUGCCAGACUAUUUUAUUUUACUAUAUUACUAGAUUACUAGAGUAAAAAGUGUGUCUUUGACUAUAUAAUUUAAAGUACGGGAAUCUACUGGGGUUUGUAUGCAAGUUCAGGGACACAAUGAUGCAUUUGCCUUAGAAUUGUUGGUAUCGUGAAAGCAACAGGUUCAUCCUCAGUUUCUUGAGCAAGCAAGGAUGCCUUUGCCACUUGAAAUGGCGCAAGAGCCUGUUUACGUGAAUGCCAAAAAAUACCAUGCGAUAUUAAGGCGAAGGCAAUCCUGUGCAAAAGUAGAGCUUGAGAAGAAACUUAUAAAAGACAGAAAGCCUUAUCUUCAUGAAUCACGGCAUCAGCAUGCUAUGACAAGGGUAAGGGGCUCCGGUGGUCGUUUCAAAGGAAACUGACGUUAAUAAGAACACAACAGGUUCGGGUUCAAGUUCUACCAUGUCAUCAUCCCAGUCGGUGAAUUCAAACCGGGUGCACUUGAGCAAUGGAAAAGUAAAGCGGUUACUCAAGGAUCAAGUUUACCAAACGGAAUGGUUUCUUCUUCUAAAAGCAAGUUCGAUGAUAAAAUAGAAGCAUCUUAUGCUAAAACGUAUUUCCAUUACUACGGGCAACUGCUUCAUCAGCAAAAUAUGAUGCAGGAUUAUGUGAGAACAGGUCAAUAUAUAUCGCUUUCUUUUUCUUUUUUGAGUUGCAUGUAUC